AGGACGAACGCUGGCGGCGUGCUUCAUACAUGCAAGUCGAGCGGAAAGGCCCUUCGGGGUACUCGAGCGGCGAACGGGUGAGUAACACGUGAGCAAUCUGCCUUCAGCUCCGGGAUAACGCGCUGUGGUAACACAGCUACUGGAAACAGGUGCUAAUACCGGAUAUGACCUCGAAGGACAUCCUUCGAGGUGGAAAGUUUUUCGGCUGAAGAUGAGCUCGCGGCCUAUCAGCUUGUUGGCGGGGUAACGGCCCACCAAGGCGACGACGGGUAGCCGGCCUGAGAGGGCGACCGGCCACACUGGGACUGAGACACGGCCCAGACUCCUACGGGAGGCAGCAGUAGGGAAUAUUGCGCAAUGGGCGAAAAGCCUGACGCAGCAACGCCGCGUGGGGAUGAAGGCCUUCGGGUCGUAAACCCCUUCAGCAGGGACGAAGCGAAAGUGACGGUACCGUGCAGAAGAAGCGCCGGCUAACUACGUGCCAGCAGCCGCGGUAA
rnacentral:rRNA from 1 species